rnacentral:rRNA from 1 species
UGCCAGCAGCCGCGGUAAUACGAGGGGUGCUAGCGUUGUCCGGAAUCAUUGGGCGUAAAGGGUCCGUAGGCGGUUUAACAAGUCAAUUGUUAAAGACAUCGGCUUAACCGAUGGAGUGCAGUUGAAACUGUUAGAAUAGAGUUUAGGAGAGGAAAGUGGAAUUUCUGGUGUAGCGGUGACAUGCGUAGAUAUCAGAAGGAACACCAAUGGCGAAGGCAACUUUCUGGCCUAAAACUGACGCUCAUGGACGAAAGCCAGGGGAGCGAAAGGGAUUAGAUA